CCUACGGGUGGCUGCAGUGGGGAAUAUUGGACAAUGGGGGCAACCCUGAUCCAGCCAUGCCGCGUGUGUGAAGAAGGCCCUCGGGUUGUAAAGCACUUUCAGUGAGGAAGAACGCCUGGUGGUUAAUACCCAUCAGGAAAGACAUCACUCACAGAAGAAGCACCGGCUAACUCCGUGCCAGCAGCCGCGGUAAUACGGAGGGUGCGAGCGUUAAUCGGGAUUACUGGGCGUAAAGCGCGCGUAGGUGGCUUGAUAAGCCGGUUGUGAAAGCCCCGGGCUCAACCUGGGAACGGCAUCCGGAACUGUCAAGCUAGAGUGCAGGAGAGGAAGGUAGAAUUCCCGGUGUAGCGGUGAAAUGCGUAGAGAUCGGGAGGAAUACCAGUGGCGAAGGCGGCCUUCUGGACUGACACUGACACUGAGGUGCGAAAGCGUGGGUAGCAAACAGGAUUAGAUACCCGAGUAGUC
rnacentral:rRNA from 1 species